GGAUUGUAGUCUGCAACCCGACUACAUGAAGCUGGAAUCGCUAGUAAUCGCGGAUCAGAAUGCCGCGGUGAAUACGUUCCCGGGUCUUGUACACACCGCCCGUCACACCAUGGGAGUCGGAAAUGCCCGAAGUCUGUGACCCAACCGGAAGGAGGGAGCAGCCGAAGGCAGGUCGGAUGACUGGGGUGAAGUCGUAACAAGGUAAC
rnacentral:rRNA from 1 species